UACGGAGGGUGCGAGCGUUAAUCGGAAUUACUGGGCGUAAAGGGUGCGUAGGUGGUUAAUUAAGUUAUCUGUGAAAUCCCUGGGCUCAACCUGGGCAGGUCAGAUAAUACUGUUUAACUCGAGUAUGGGAGAGGGUAGUGGAAUUUCCGGUGUAGCGGUGAAAUGCGUAGAGAUCGGAAGGAACACCAGUGGCGAAGGCGGCUACCUGGCCUAAUACUGACACUGAGGCACGAAAGCGUGGGGAGCAAACAGG
rnacentral:rRNA from 1 species